rnacentral:lncRNA from 1 species
GCCCAGCAACAGAGCUUCUCAUGCUGCAAUGCCCCUGUGUGAUGUACCAAAGGAGAUGCACCAGCAGAUGGGGCAGGGUGGAAAUUGGAACUUGAGCUCUUUACCACUACAAAUGCUCUUCCCUAAACCUUACUAGAAAAGCCUGCCCCUUGGGGGCGUGACUGGGUACCCAUGGACUUUUUGGAUACUAAUAAGUCUGCCUUCAUCCAGAUGUUCUAGGCCGGCUUUCCAGCCUAGCCUGUGGGUCACCAUGCCCAGUGCAGGGAGGGGCAAGAGGGUGACAGAUCACACACCCCUGACCUUGGAGCUGCUGGAGCCAGGGGAGCCCUGCUCAGUCUGGACCCCUUCCCAGAUGGAGGGGCAGAGGCUCUCCACACCCUCACUGCCACUCCCUGCCAUCUACCCAGGACAAAGGCCUGGAGCAACUCAUUCAUGUGUCACUGGGCAUCGAUGUCCUCUGCAACACAGUGGCAGGAAUGUGUUGAACAAACUCCACUGGCUUAGCGAUGCUGCAUUUUCCUCACUACUCAUGCUAAGGUGUCCUUCCUUCCCACACACUAAAUUUGUUUGGACGUAUUUAAUAGAACAAGAAAAUGAGAGAACAUAAAUGCAAGUGCAAUCCAAGUCUUCUUUCCCAUCUUUCAACCACAAGGUGCCUAUCAGUAAAUGGGCUGCUUGUUCUAUUAAGUGAGCGCUCACUCUGGGUGGUCCGCACCACUAUAUCUAGGAGAGGCUGACAACAUGCUGCUCACUCCAGAAAAACAUGUUAUUUUACCGCAUAGGUCAAGUUUAGCAACUAUGAAUAUGGACUGUUUCAACAAUUCCAGUAGGGUUGCUACUUCCCUGGUUGGCCAGUCUCAAGCGGCUGGAGGGAGGAGGAGGGAGUAUCACAUCUCCUUCCCCUCCCUUCUCCAAUCAUUUCAUGGACCCUUAGUUUCUGCAGGGGCCAGAGGAGGAACUCACAGCAGAGACCCGCACAGAGGCUCUGCAGCCAGUUUGCCAAUGGAGCUUCCAAGAACACAUCAUAUGUGUUUCCUGAAGUAGUUCUGGCAUCUGGGAGGGACUGCAGGCGUGAACCACAGCAGGCAAGUAGCAGCAAGUGAUGGCUCCCGUCUUCUUGGCUUCUUACACUGGGAAACCUUGAACAGUAUGGUUCUGAUAACAGGUCCCAUGUGAUCAACCGUUAUGUUUAGAACCUGUGGGGUUCAUGUGAAUUUGCAGCCUUUCUCUUUAUAAACAUUAGGGAAAUGUCCUUGGUAAUGGAGAUACACAAGAAGAGAAUCAGAUGUUUGCCUCCUGGAAGGUACCUCUAUUAUUUGAGAAAUAAUUCAAUCAGAUGACAUAAACAACAAGCACAGUCCACUUCCAAUGUCAGACACUGACCACCCUCAUGUCUUUGCCUCCAACCACGGCGGUUCUCUUCUCUUACACUCAAAUG